UGGUGACCUGAGGGGGGCAGAGAAAUGUGGACAUGAGAGAAGAACAGCUUCUAGUGGGAAGGACUCAUCGAUACACAACUGUCUGGCUGCUGACUCGGAGGACCACAAAUGAUGUGUCCGUCACAUUCCUUUAAAGGCUGCCACCCAGAAGAUAAAACCCCGGAAAAUGCUAAUCCUCCCACUAAACUGGUGGUUAUUGGAGGAGCCCAAACGUAAAGGAGGAGUGCUGAGCCAAUAAGGUUCUGUCAGUGGUUCUGAACGCACCGCAGGGAAAACGUGAGCGUUCAUGAGCGGACACAGGGGUCUGCUCCAACUAAGGUGAAUACAGUUUGAUGCUUUCAUUCGACACAAGCACCUGUUUCAAGUGAACGACAACUAAACUUUCUGUCAGAUUCCAACAGGUUGGAAGCCUCUGCUUGAUGACAGCUUAACAGGAUGAACUUUUUUUAUUUUUUUUAAAAACAAACUCGUUUUUUUUUCUCAAAUUAUGUUUAUUUAUUUAUUUUUCCUUUAUUUUAUUUUCGUUUUUACAAAAUCAGAAAGGCGUUCAGGUGAGUAGAACAGACCUAAUACAAUAUUACAUUUAUGUUGGCACUGCGGCAUUAAAAAAAAACAAAUCCCUGUGAGGCUGAUGAUUAAACCAAAAGUGACACUUUAGCUGACAUUUUCAUCAAGUAUAUGGAAGCACUGGGGGUUUAUUUAUGACCAGUUUCCCUGCUCAGAUACAGAACACCCCAUAAUAUUAUGUACUGCAUUCAUUAUAAAGACUGUGGGAAGAUGAUGGCUGACAAUAGUUCCGUUCCUUCACGAUUUUUGGGGUGUUUUUAGGAUUUCUGAGGUAGUAAGCAGCACUGACAAAACUCCUCAUUGAUCUCAGUGAUCUCUUUCUUCAUGAUUGGUUAACAGCAUCUGUAAAUCUACAGCAUGAUCCCAAUAGCAGCGUUCUUAAUGCAUUUACACCUAAAUUACCAACAUUAUAGGUUGAAAAGAUCAAUUGUAACUAUAAAAAAAGAUGUUGACACACUGAGGAUUGAUUCAUUUUUCUUAUGUUUGAACCAAAAAUGUAAAUAUACUUAGCAUUAAUUCUGUUUUCUUUUAUUAUUUAUUUAUCUAAUUGUAUUUCAUCUCAACGUCCAGUUUUCUCUUCGGUGCUUUGAGUCUGAAAUUAAACGUAUCAUUCAACACAGAAGAAAAUGAUGAAAAAAAAACUGUGUCAAAUAGAAAAAUCACUUGGACUAAACACUUAUAACUCCACCUGUUAAUAAAGUCAUUAUUAUAACAUAAUUGCAUAAACUGUAAAUGUAAAAGUUCACCUUUAGCAUUAUUGCUACUUCACUGAAUUUUUUUGUGCAUCUUUACAUGAUUCUUUUUACAGUGCGUUGUGUUCUGCACUCUGAUUGGCUGGUGUCUCCUAUACAGGAUGCGUUCUGUUUUCCAAGUAACUACGAAUCUUCAAAAGUUCUCAGCACCUUCUUUGAUUUUGAGCUCUUUGCGGAUCUCCCGGCGGAUCUGCUCUUUGAUCUCGUCCAGCUUCUGCUGGACCAUGGAGUCAGACAAGUCCAGGUUCUGACCCAGGCCGAGUCGCUCUGCCACCAGCUGGCCCCUGGCAUCCCCCUGGAGGACAGCAUGACAGUAGAGGACCAUUGACACAAACAGGAAGAUAAACCGUCUGAGCAGCGACAGCCAAAUCCCUCUUAGCCUCUCCCCCCUGUGAGGUCAGAGCGGUCCAGAAUGGGACCUAAUCUCGCUCCAAGGAGAGAGCGGGCUAAAAUUACCGGCAGGUUAAAAACAACGCCCACACAAAACUACUACCUGCUCUCUUAUCACCACAACUCACAGUCCAAGGAGGAGACACGCCGAAGUAUCGGACACGACAAAUCCACCCAGACUUUCAGAUGGAUUUCAGGAAGAAACCAGUAUUUUACCUGAUUGUUGGAUUCAUUGUUACGUCAACCAUCAACAUGCAACCAGCCAGUUUAAAAAGCUUGUUGUUAAAAUUGUGUCAUAACUUUAUGUACCAUCUGUCAUUACGGGUUAUUAUUUAUACGUUUUAAAAAAAUCUUCUCCCUCAAGAGGAGAAAAAUGGGACCAAAUUUUGAUUGUCUGUAUCUAAAAAACUACUGAAGCCAAUGUUAUGUCAUUUGGUGACCAGUAACUUUGAAAUAUUCUACUUCAACUAAAGCAAAAUCAGCUCAAUAGCGCCACCACGUGGCCAGGUAUAGCACAUAACACGUUGAAGUCUUUGCUUCUUUUACCGCAAGUCGUAGAAACAGAACUCCUAUUAGUGAUUUCUUGGAUCCGGUAGAAAUUAUUUUAACCAGACCACACACUUCCUUCGUUCGACAUUUUCUACUAACAAAAAGAUAACAAAACUGUACUGCCACCUUGUGGUUACUUAUAAGAUUAACAGUUGGGCUGUGUCUUCUGAAUUAUAACAUCACACUGUAUUUUCUCCUUAUUGCUAAUAAUCCCCUCAAAAUGCCUACUUCACCAUGACGCCAUUGGAUGUCAGGGAUAUUUUGCAAAACAAACUUUUGGUUGGAUAUCUAAUGUAAUCUAUACAAUCUUUACUUAAUUUGUUUCUAACCUAUCUGGAGCGCCCCAAACUAAUCCCGAAGAAUUUUCAUAAAAACUGCUUUUCAAAGUGGCCUUCCAGUAUGUAAUGCUACCCCCAAUUAGCAAAAACGGAAACAGGUUUUCCAGUUAAGCUUCUGAGGAGGUUGUGUAGAAACUGGAAAAUAGACGGAGCUGCAACAUGUUCCUUCAUCUUAAAGACCCACUCCAAUGAAAAUGGUGUUUUUAGUGUUUUUAACAUGUUCUUGUAGCCUUUUUCUGAUAAUAAGAGGACAUCUGUAAUGAAAAUUAAGAUUAAAACCUAAUUUCUGAG